CUUUGGAGACGUGCUAAAAUCGUGUUUGGUCUCCUACUGUAUCGCGUACCUUGUCAGUGUCGUGUGCUUUGCUUGGCCAUUUGUUGUGAUAAACAGGAAAGU